rnacentral:rRNA from 1 species
AGCGAACGCUGGCGGCAGGCUUAACACAUGCAAGUCGAGCGGGCACUUCGGUGUCAGCGGCAGACGGGUGAGUAACACGUGGGAACGUACCCUUUGGUUCGGAAUAACGCUGGGAAACUAGCGCUAAUACCGGAUACGCCCUUUUGGGGAAAGGCUUGCUGCCGAAGGAUCGGCCCGCGUCUGAUUAGCUAGUUGGUGGGGUAAUGGCCUACCAAGGCGACGAUCAGUAGCUGGUCUGAGAGGAUGAUCAGCCACACUGGGACUGAGACACGGCCCAGACUCCUACGGGAGGCAGCAGUGGGGAAUAUUGGACAGUGGGCGCAAGCCUGAUCCAGCCAUGCCGCGUGAGUGAUGAAGGCCUUAGGGUUGUAAAGCUCUUUUGUCCGGGACGAUAAUGACGGUACCGGAAGAAUAAGCCCCGGCUAACUUCGUG